rnacentral:rRNA from 1 species
CAGGCCUAACAAAUGCAAGUCGAGCGAUGAAGCACCUUCGGGUGUGGAUUAGCGGCGAACGGGUGAGGAACACGUGAGGAAUCUGCCUUCCACUCUGGGAUAACUCCGGGAAACCGGGGCUAAUACCGGAUACUUUCAACUGGCGGCAUCGCCGGUUGAAGAAAGUUUUUCGGUGGAAGAUGACCUCGCGGCCUAUCAGCUUGUUGGUGAGGUAAUGGCUCACCAAGGCAACGACGGGUAGCCGGCCUGAGAGGGCGACCGGCCACACUGGGACUGAGACACGGCCCAGACUCCUACGGGAGGCAGCAGUGGGGAAUAUUGGGCAAUGGAGGAAACUCUGACCCAGCGACGCCGCGUGAGGGAUGAAGGCCUUCGGGUUGUAAACCUCUUUCAGCAGGGAAUAAGCGAAAGUGAAGGUACCUGCAGAAGAAGCACCGGCAACUAUG